CCAGUCUAUGGCCAUACCACCCCGAACGCCAGAUCUCCUCUGAUCUGGGAAGCUCAGCAGGCCCGGGCCUGGUUAGUACUUGGAUGGGAGAAAGAAGUCCAGAGUGGACUGGA
rnacentral:rRNA from 1 species